rnacentral:rRNA from 1 species
UGCGAGUGAAGCGGGAAAAGCUCAAAUUUAAAAUCUGGCGGCGUCUGGCUGUCCGAAUUGUAGCCUAGAGAAGUGUUGCCUGCAUUGGACCAUGUAUAAGUCUCCUGGGAUGGAGCAUCACAGAGGGUGAGAAUCCCGUGUUUGACAUGGACUACCAGUGCAUUGUGGUACGCUCUCAAAGAGUUGAGUUGUUUGGGAAUGCAGCUCUAAAUGGGUGGUAAAUUCCAUCUAAAGCUAAAUAUUGGCGAGAGACCGAUAGCGAACAAGUACCGUGAGGGAAAGAUGAAAAGAACUUUGGAAAGAGAGUUAAACAGUAUGUGAAAUUGUUGAAAGGGAAACGUUUGAAGUCAGUCGCAUUGGUCAGGGAUCAAGGCAGCUCUUUUGCUGAGUGUAUUUCCUGGACAAUGGGCCAACAUGAGUUUUGACUGCUGGAGAAAGGCUAAGGGAAUGUGGCACUUUUUGGUGUGUUAUAGCUCUUAAUUGUAUGCAACAAUUGGGACUGAAGAAUGGAGUGCGCCCUUGGGCAAGGUUUCCACCACCUUUCCCGCUUAAGAAGUUGGCAUAAUGGCUUUAAUCGACCCGUCUUGGAACACGGACCAAGGAAUCUAACGUGCAUGCCAGUGGUUGGGUGGAAAACCCUUGCGCGCAAUGAAAGUGAAAGUUGAAAUCCCUGUUAUUUUAUGGGGAGCAUCCACCCCCGGACC